UGCGUAGGCGGGUCUUUAAGUCAGGGGUGAAAUCCUGGAGCUCAACUCCAGAACUGCCUUUGAUACUGAAGAUCUUGAGUUCGGGAGAGGUGAGUGGAACUGCGAGUGUAGAGGUGAAAUUCGUAGAUAUUCGCAAGAACACCAGUGGCGAAGGCGGCUCACUGGCCCGAUACUGACGCUGAGGCACGAAAGGCGUGGGGAGCAAACA
rnacentral:rRNA from 1 species